CGCCAGGCCUGGGAGAGGAGGCUCCGGGCCUCCUGGACCUCCCAGUCCUGCCCGCGUUGUCGAGGAUGCCAGCAACGCCGCUGAACUUGUCUUUUAUGCCCCGGUUUCAUACCAAGCUCUGUCCUAGUGGGAUCUGUGUCAUUUUACUUAUUAUGUAAAUAAGACCAUGAUGGUGAUAUGCUUAUUAUCACAAAGGAGGGCCAGCCGCAGACAGGUGAAGCAACGUGCCCAAGCUCACACAGCAGUCAGGAUUCAGACUGGGUCUCUGCCUGCAACCUUGCUCCCGCAGGGCAUGCACAUGGGCGUAUAUAGUUGUAUUUUCCCAUAAUUAAAGUACUAGUCACCGCUCCAGUGGCCACCACACCAAGGCACAGUCCCCUGCCCCACCUCAUUCAACGCCACUCCCUCCCCGUGACCCAUGAGGAAGGGAAGCAGGGCGUCCAUACCCUGGUCACCAAGCUCCACGUGCAAGCAGGGCCAGGCGUGAACUGGGAGCCAAGUCGAUCAGUCUGCACGGGGCUGAGAGAAUGGAAGUUUUUCCUCUCACGGCUCUGGAGGCUGGAUGUCCAAGAUCAACCGUCUGGCAGAGGGACACACUUUACCUAGGACGUGAACCGAAUAGCCUCGCCAGGCCUAUUGUUCCAGCUGUGUACAGCUGUAAGGACCAAACAAGUCAGCCUGAGAAGAAACCACAUGGAUUUUCCAUAGAAACCCACUGAAUGAGAGAAUUUCAAAAUGGAAUGCAAGAGUUUCCGUGUGGGAAGAGGGAAAAGUUCUGGGGAUGACAGUGGCGAUGGCUGCACACCAGUGUGAAGGCAUUUAAUGAACCGUACCCUGGCGAAUGACAGCUCUUAUGUUCUGUGUACUUUGCCACAAUAAAGACAAAAGUCUCUUCCCGCUGCUAGAGGGA
ensembl:lncRNA